rnacentral:rRNA from 1 species
UACGAAGGGUGCAAACGUUGCUCGGAAUCAUUGGGCGUAAAGCGCACGUAGGCGGCUUCGCAAGUCGGAUGUGAAAUCCCAUGGCUCAACCAUGGACGUGCAUUCGAAACUGCGAAGCUUGAGUAUGGAAGAGGGUCGCGGAAUUCCCGGUGUAGAGGUGAAAUUCGUAGAUAUCGGGAGGAACACCAGUGGCGAAGGCGGCGACCUGGGCCAAUACUGACGCUGAGGUGCGAAAGCGUGGGGAGCAAACAGG